rnacentral:rRNA from 1 species
GAUGAACGCUGGCGGCGUGCCUAAUACAUGCAAGUCGAGCGAACGGACGAGCAGCUUGCUUCUCUUAUGUUAGCGGCGGACGGGUGAGUAACACGUGGGUAACCUACCUAUAAGACUGGGAUAACUUCGGGAAACCGGGUCUAAUACCGGAUAAUAUUUUGAACCGCAUUGUUCAAGAGUGAAAGACGGUCUUGCUGUCCCUUAUAGAUGGAUCCGCUCUGCAUUAGCUAGUUGGUAAGUUAACGGCUUACCAAGGCAACGAUGCAUAGCCUACCUGAGAGGGUGAUCGGACACACUGGAUCUGAGACACGGUCCAGACUCAUACGGAAGGCAGCAGUCGGGAAUCUUCCGCACUGGGCGAAAGCCUGACGGAGCAACGCCGCGUGAGUGAUGAAGGUCUUCGGAUCGUAAAAAUCUGUUAUUAGGGAAGAACAUAUGUGUAAGUAACUGUGCACAGCUUGACGGUACCUAAUCAGAAAGCCACGGCUAACUACGUG